rnacentral:rRNA from 1 species
UACGGAGGGUGCAAGCGUUAAUCGGAUUUAUUGGGCGUAAAGGGCGCGUAGGCGGAUAUGUAAGUCAGAUGUGAAAUCCCGGGGCUCAACCUCGGAACAGCAUUUGAAACUACAUGCCUAGAGGGUAGACGGAGAAAAUGGAAUUCCACAAGUAGCGGUGAAAUGCGUAGAUAUGUGGAAGAACACCAGUGGCGAAGGCGGUUUUCUAGCUUAUACCUGACGCUAAAGCGCGAAAGCAAGGGGAUCAAACAGG